UACGUAGGGGGCAAGCGUUGUCCGGAUUUAUUGGGCGUAAAGAGCGUGUAGGCGGCCAGGCAGGUCCGCUGUGAAAACUCGAGGCUCAACCUCGAGACGCCGAUGGAAACCCUCAGACUAGAGUCCGGAAGAGGAGAGUGGAAUUCCUGGUGUAGCGGUGAAAUGCGCAGAUAUCAGGAAGAACACCCGUGGCUAAGGCGGCUCUCUAGUACGGUACUGACGCUGAGACGCGAAAGCGUGGGGAGCGAACAGG
rnacentral:rRNA from 1 species